UACGGGGGGAGCAAGCGUUGUUCGGAUUUACUGGGCGUAAAGGGCGCGUAGGCGGUCGUGACAAGUCACUUGUGAAAUCUCCGGGCUUAACUCGGAACGGUCAAGUGAUACUGUCGGACUAGAGUACAGAAGGGGCAACUGGAAUUCUCGGUGUAGCGGUGAAAUGCGUAGAUAUCGAGAGGAACACCUGCGGCGAAGGCGGGUUGCUGGGCUGAUACUGACGCUCAUGCACGAAAGCGUGGGGAGCAAACAGG
rnacentral:rRNA from 1 species